rnacentral:rRNA from 1 species
GACGAACCACACGAACGUUAUUCGGAAUUACUGGGCUUAAAGGGUGCGCAGGCGGCUUGGCAAGUUGGGUGUGAAAUACCUCGGCUCAACCGAGGAAUGGCGCUCAAAACUGCCGAGCUAGAGGGAGAUAGAGGUGAGCGGAACUUAAGGUGGAGCGGUGAAAUGCGUUGAUAUCUUAAGGAACACCCGUGGCGAAAGCGGCUCACUGGAUCUCUUCUGACGCUCAGGCACGAAAGCCAGGGGAGCGAACGGG